rnacentral:rRNA from 1 species
GUGGGGAAUAUUGGACAAUGGGCGCAAGCCUGAUCCAGCCAUGCCGCGUGAGUGAUGAAGGCCUUAGGGUUGUAAAGCUCUUUCACCGAUGAAGAUAAUGACGGUAGUCGGAGAAGAAGCCCCGGCUAACUUCGUGCCAGCAGCCGCGGUAAUACGAAGGGGGCUAGCGUUGUUCGGAUUUACUGGGCGUAAAGCGCACGUAGGCGGUUUGUUAAGUCAGGGGUGAAAUCCCGGAGCUCAACUCCGGAACUGCCUUUGAUACUGACAAGCUAGAGUCCGGAAGAGGUAAGUGGAACUCCUAGUGUAGAGGUGGAAUUCGUAGAUAUUAGGAAGAACACCAGUGGCGAAGGCGGCUUACUGGUCCGGAACUGACGCUGAGGUGCGAAAGCGUGGGGAGCAAACAGGAUUAGAAACCCGAGUAGUCC